rnacentral:tRNA from 1 species
GGGGGUCUAGCUCAGUGGUAGAGUGCAUGACUAGCAUGCAUGACGUCCUAGGUUCAAUCUCCAGAACCUCCA